CAAUAGAUACCCUGGUAGUCCAUGCCGUAAAACGAUGUCUACUAGCCGUUGGGGCCUUUGAGGCUUUAGUGGCGCAGCUAACGCGAUAAGUAGACCGCCUGGGGAGUACGGUCGCAAGACUAAAACUCAAAUGAAUUGACGGGGGCCCGCACAAGCGGUGGAGCAUGUGGUUUAAUUCGAUGCAACGCGAAGAACCUUACCUGGCCUUGACAUACUAAGAACUUUCCAGAGAUGGAUUGGUGCCUUCGGGAACUUAGAUACAGGUGCUGCAUGGCUGUCGUCAGCUCGUGUCGUGAGAUGUUGGGUUAAGUCCCGCAACGAGCGCAACCCUUUUCCUUACUUGCCAGCAUUUCGGAUGGGAACUUUAAGGAUACUGCCAGUGACAAACUGGAGGAAGGCGGGGACGACGUCAAGUCAUCAUGGCCCUUACGGCCAGGGCUACACACGUGCUACAAUGGUCGGUACAAAGGGUUGCUACUGCGCGAGCAGAUGCUAAUCUCAAAAAGCCGAUCGUAGUCCGGAUCGCAGU
rnacentral:rRNA from 1 species